ACUAGCCCUAGCCCCUCAAAACACAAUUCAACUAUUUCACCCCAUAAACUAAAACAUUCAAAUUUAAUGAAGUAUUGGAGAAAGAAACCUUCCACAGGGAGCCAUAGAGAUAGUACCGCAAGGGAAAGAUGAAAGAAAUGCUAAAAGUACUACAAAGCAAAGAUUAAACCUUGUACCUUUUGCAUAAUGAACUAACUAGAAAACCUCUAACUAAGAGAACUUUAGCUAGAAACCCCGAAACCAAGCGAGCUACCCAAGAGCAAUUUUAUGAAUGAACCCGUCUAUGUAGCAAAAUAGUGGGAAGACUUCUGGGUAGAGGUGAAAAGCCUAACGAGCUUGGUGAUAGCUGGUUACCCAAUAAAGAAUCUCAGUUCAACUUUAAGCUUACCUCACGAAACUAAUAAAUCAUAAUGUAAACUUAAAAUAUAGCCUAAAGAGGGACAGCUCUUUAGGAAUGGAGACAACCUUAAAUAGUGAAUAAGACAUAAUCAACAACCAACCAUAGUUGGCCUAAAAGCAGCCACCAAUAAAGAAAGCGUUCAAGCUCAACAUUAAACACACCCUAAUACCACAAACCUUAUCCACUUCCUAUAAUUAUAAUUGGGUUAAUCUAUUGAUAUAUAGAUGCAACACUGUUAGUAUGAGUAACAAGAAUACACUUCUCCCCGCACAAGCCUACAACAACCCGGAUAACCAUUGUUAAUUAACAUCAAUAAGUCUAUUAACCACCUAUAAAAAUCACUUUAUACAUAAUGUUAAUCCAACACAGGAGUGCAACAAGGAAAGAUUAAAAGGAGUAAAAGGAACUAGGCAAACACGAACCCCGCCUGUUUACCAAAAACAUCACCUCUAGCAUAAUAAGUAUUAGAGGCAAUGCCUGCCCAGUGACUCAAGUUAAACGGCCGCGGUAUCCUGACCGUGCAAAGGUAGCAUAAUCACUUGUUCCUUAAUUAGGGACUAGAAUGAACGGCUAAACGAGGGUCCAACUGUCUCUUACUCCCAAUCAGUGAAAUUGACCUCCCCGUGAAGAGGCGGGGAUACAAAAAUAAGACGAGAAGACCCUAUGGAGCUUCAAUCCAACUGACUUAAUCUUAUACCUACUACACCUAUUGGCUAUAAAAACAAGACAUUAAGUCUAGGAUUUCGGUUGGGGUGACCUCGGAGAAUAAAAAAACCUCCGAACGAUUUUAACUUAGACCUACAAGUCAAAGUACCCAAAAAUCCAAUUGACCCAAAACACUUUGAUCAACGGACCAAGUUACCCUAGGGAUAACAGCGCAAUCCUAUUCAAGAGUCCCUAUCGACAAUUAGGGUUUACGACCUCGAUGUUGGAUCAGGACAUCCCAAUGGUGCAGAAACUAUUAAAGGUUCGUUUGUUCAACGAUUAAAGUCCUACGUGAUCUGAGUUCAGACCGGAGCAAUCCAGGUCGGUUUCUAUCUAUUCACGAUUUCUCCUAGUACGAAAGGACCAGAGAAAUGGGGCCCACUUAACAUAAGCGCCCCUAACUAAUUAAUGAAUACAUCUCAAUAUAGUACGUCCGUUAAACUCAACCCUAGAUCAGGGUU
rnacentral:rRNA from 1 species